rnacentral:rRNA from 1 species
CAGCCGUAAACUAUGCUCGCUAGGUGUCAGGCAUGGCGCGACCGUGUCUGGUGCCGCAGGGAAGCCGUGAAGCGAGCCACCUGGGAAGUACGGCCGCAAGGCUGAAACUUAAAGGAAUUGGCGGGGGAGCACAACAACGGGUGGAGCCUGCGGUUUAAUUGGACUCAACGCCGGGAAGCUCACCGGAUAAGACAGCGGAAUGAUUGCCGGGCUGAAGACUCUGCAUGACUAGCUGAGAGGUGGUGCAUGGCGUAGAC